GCUCCGCCAGACCGCCGCCGCGCCGCCAUCAUGGACACCAGCCGUGUGCAGCCUAUCAAGCUGGCCAGGGUCACCAAGGUCCUGGGCAGGACCGGUUCUCAGGGACAGUGCACGCAGGUGCGCGUGGAAUUCAUGGACGACACGAGCCGAUCCAUCAUCCGCAAUGUAAAAGGCCCCGUGCGCGAGGGCGACGUGCUCACCCUUUUGGAGUCAGAGCGAGAAGCCCGGAGGUUGCGCUGAGCUUGGCUGCUCGCUGGGUCUUGGAUGUCGGGUUCGACCACUUGGCCGAUGGGAAUGGUCUGUCACAAUCUGCUCCUUUUUUUUGUCCGCCACACGUAACUGAGAUGCUCCUUUAAAUAAAGCGUUUGUGUUUC
rnacentral:lncRNA from 1 species